AAUAACCCGAAUCCAUAUUGCUGAAGAUAAGCAUUGAGGAGAGAAUGCAUCUCCGACUCAAAGGUUUUUCGAGUGCCACACCCGUAGUAAGCCCCAACUAACAACAACAACAACCCAGUAUAAUCCCACUUAGUGGGGUCUGGGGAGGGUAGUGUGUACACAGACCUUACCCCUAUCCUGAGGCAGAGAUGUUGUUUCCAAAUAGACCCCCGGCAUCCUUCCCUCCAAGAACUUCC
rnacentral:lncRNA from 1 species